rnacentral:rRNA from 1 species
AGUGAACGCUGGCGGUAGGCCUAACACAUGCAAGUCGAACGGCAGCACAGUAAGAGCUUGCUCUUACGGGUGGCGAGUGGCGGACGGGUGAGGAAUACAUCGGAAUCUACUUUUUCGUGGGGGAUAACGUAGGGAAACUUACGCUAAUACCGCAUACGACCUACGGGUGAAAGCAGGGGAUCUUCGGACCUUGCGCGAUUGAAUGAGCCGAUGUCGGAUUAGCUAGUUGGCGGGGUAAAGGCCCACCAAGGCGACGAUCCGUAGCUGGUCUGAGAGGAUGAUCAGCCAAACUGGAACUGAGACACGGGCCAGAAUCCCAAGGGAGGCAGAAGUGGGGAAUAUUGGACAAUGGGCGGAAGCCUGAUCCAGCCAUACCGCGUGGGUGAAGAAGGCCUUCGGGUUGGAAAGCCCUUUUGUUGGGAAAGAAAAGCAGCAGGGUAAUAACCCGCUGUUUUGAAGGUACCCAAAGAAUAAGCACCGGCUAACUUCGUG